CGUAGGGUGCGAGCGUUAAUCGGAAUUACUGGGCGUAAAGCGUGCGCAGGCGGUUUAGUAAGACAGGCGUGAAAUCCCCGGGCUCAACCUGGGAACUGCGCUUGUGACUGCUAAGCUAGAGUACGGCAGAGGGGGUGGAAUUCCACGUGUAGCAGUGAAAUGCGUAGAGAUGUGGAGGAACACCAAUGGCGAAGGCAGCCCCCUGGGUCGAUACUGACGCUCAUGCACGAAAGCGUGGGUAGCAAACAGGAUUAGAUACCCUGGUAGUCCACGCCCUAAACGAUGUCAACUAGGUGUUGGGAGGGUAAAACCUCUUAGUACCGGAGCUAACGCGUGAAGUUGACCGCCUGGGGAGUACGGCCGCAAGGUUA
rnacentral:rRNA from 1 species